rnacentral:rRNA from 1 species
CCUACGGGAGGCAGCAGUGAGGAAUAUUGGUCAAUGGGAGAGAUCCUGAACCAGCCAAGCCGCGUGAGGGAAGACGGCCCUAUGGGUUGUAAACCUCUUUUGUCGGAGAACAAAACCCGGGACGUGUCCCGGACCGCGUGUAUCCGAAGAAAAAGCAUCGGCUAACUCCGUGCCAGCAGCCGCGGUAAUACGGAGGAUGCGAGCGUUAUCCGGAUGUAUUGGGUUGAAAGGGUGCGUAGGCGGUCCGUUAAGUCAGCGGUAAAAUUGCGGGGCUCAACCCCGUCGAGCCGUUGAAACUGGCAGACUUGAGUUGGCGAGAAGUACGCGGAAUGCGCGGUGUAGCGGUGAAAUGCAUAGAUAUCGCGCAGAACUCCGAUUGCGAAGGCAGCGUACCGGCGCCAGACUGACGCUGAGGCACGAAAGCGUGGGGAUCGAACAGGAUUAGAUACCCGAGUAGUC